rnacentral:rRNA from 1 species
AGCGUACACGGUGGAUGCCCUGGCAGUCAGAGGCGAUGAAGGACGUGCUAAUCUGCGAUAAGCGUCGGUGAGGUGAUAUGAACCGUUAUAACCGGCGAUUUCCGAAUGGGGAAACCCAGUGUGUUUCGACACACUAUCAUUAACUGAAUCCAUAGGUUAAUGAGGCGAACCGGGGGAACUGAAACAUCUAAGUACCCCGAGGAAAAGAAAUCAACCGAGAUUCCCCCAGUAGCGGCGAGCGAACGGGGAGGAGCCCAGAGCCUGAAUCAGUGUGUGUGUUAGUGGAAGCGUCUGGAAAGGCGCGCGAUACAGGGUGACAGCCCCGUACACAAAAAUGCACAUAUUGUGAGCUCGAUGAGUAGGGCGGGACACGUGGUAUCCUGUCUGAAUAUGGGGGGACCAUCCUCCAAGGCUAAAUACUCCUGACUGACCGAUAGUGAACCAGUACCGUGAGGGAAAGGCGAAAAGAACCCCGGCGAGGGGAGUGAAAAAGAACCUGAAACCGUGUACGUACAAGCAGUGGGAGCCUCUUAAUGGGGUGACUGCGUACCUUUUGUAUAAUGGGUCAGCGACUUAUAUUCUGUAGCAAGGUUAACCGAAUAGGGGAGCCGAAGGGAAACCGAGUCUUAACUGGGCGUUAAGUUGCAGGGUAUAGACCCGAAACCCGGUGAUCUAGCCAUGGGCAGGUUGAAGGUUGGGUAACACUAACUGGAGGACCGAACCGACUAAUGUUGAAAAAUUAGCGGAUGACUUGUGGCUGGGGGUGAAAGGCCAAUCAAACCGGGAGAUAGCUGGUUCUCCCCGAAAGCUAUUUAGGUAGCGCCUCGUGAAUUCAUCUCCGGGGGUAGAGCACUGUUUCGGCAAGGGGGUCAUCCCGACUUACCAACCCGAUGCAAACUGCGAAUACCGGAGAAUGUUAUCACGGGAGACACACGGCGGGUGCUAACGUCCGUCGUGAAGAGGGAAACAACCCAGACCGCCAGCUAAGGUCCCAAAGUCAUGGUUAAGUGGGAAACGAUGUGGGAAGGCCCAGACAGCCAGGAUGUUGGCUUAGAAGCAGCCAUCAUUUAAAGAAAGCGUAAUAGCUCACUGGUCGAGUCGGCCUGCGCGGAAGAUGUAACGGGGCUAAACCAUGCACCGAAGCUGCGGCAGCGACACUAUGUGUUGUUGGGUAGGGGAGCGUUCUGUAAGCCUGUGAAGGUGGCCUGUGAGGGUUGCUGGAGGUAUCAGAAGUGCGAAUGCUGACAUAAGUAACGAUAAAGCGGGUGAAAAGCCCGCUCGCCGGAAGACCAAGGGUUCCUGUCCAACGUUAAUCGGGGCAGGGUGAGUCGACCCCUAAGGCGAGGCCGAAAGGCGUAGUCGAUGGGAAACAGGUUAAUAUUCCUGUACUUGGUGUUACUGCGAAGGGGGGACGGAGAAGGCUAUGUUGGCCGGGCGACGGUUGUCCCGGUUUAAGCGUGUAGGCUGGUUUUCCAGGCAAAUCCGGAAAACCAAGGCUGAGGCGUGAUGACGAGGCACUACGGUGCUGAAGCGACAAAUGCCCUGCUUCCAGGAAAAGCCUCUAAGCAUCAGGUAACAUCAAAUCGUACCCCAAACCGACACAGGUGGUCAGGUAGAGAAUACCAAGGCGCUUGAGAGAACUCGGGUGAAGGAACUAGGCAAAAUGGUGCCGUAACUUCGGGAGAAGGCACGCUGAUAUGUAGGUGAAGCGACUUGCUCGUGGAGCUGAAAUCAGUCGAAGAUACCAGCUGGCUGCAACUGUUUAUUAAAAACACAGCACUGUGCAAACACGAAAGUGGACGUAUACGGUGUGACGCCUGCCCGGUGCCGGAAGGUUAAUUGAUGGGGUUAGCGGUAACGCGAAGCUCUUGAUCGAAGCCCCGGUAAACGGCGGCCGUAACUAUAACGGUCCUAAGGUAGCGAAAUUCCUUGUCGGGUAAGUUCCGACCUGCACGAAUGGCGUAAUGAUGGCCAGGCUGUCUCCACCCGAGACUCAGUGAAAUUGAACUCGCUGUGAAGAUGCAGUGUACCCGCGGCAAGACGGAAAGACCCCGUGAACCUUUACUAUAGCUUGACACUGAACAUUGAGCCUUGAUGUGUAGGAUAGGUGGGAGGCUUUGAAGUGUGGACGCCAGUCUGCAUGGAGCCGACCUUGAAAUACCACCCUUUAAUGUUUGAUGUUCUAACGUUGGCCCGUAAUCCGGGUUGCGGACAGUGUCUGGUGGGUAGUUUGACUGGGGCGGUCUCCUCCUAAAGAGUAACGGAGGAGCACGAAGGUUGGCUAAUCCUGGUCGGACAUCAGGAGGUUAGUGCAAUGGCAUAAGCCAGCUUGACUGCGAGCGUGACGGCGCGAGCAGGUGCGAAAGCAGGUCAUAGUGAUCCGGUGGUUCUGAAUGGAAGGGCCAUCGCUCAACGGAUAAAAGGUACUCCGGGGAUAACAGGCUGAUACCGCCCAAGAGUUCAUAUCGACGGCGGUGUUUGGCACCUCGAUGUCGGCUCAUCACAUCCUGGGGCUGAAGUAGGUCCCAAGGGUAUGGCUGUUCGCCAUUUAAAGUGGUACGCGAGCUGGGUUUAGAACGUCGUGAGACAGUUCGGUCCCUAUCUGCCGUGGGCGCUGGAGAACUGAGGGGGGCUGCUCCUAGUACGAGAGGACCGGAGUGGACGCAUCACUGGUGUUCGGGUUGUCAUGCCAAUGGCACUGCCCGGUAGCUAAAUGCGGAAGAGAUAAGUGCUGAAAGCAUCUAAGCACGAAACUUGCCCCGAGAUGAGUUCUCCCUGACUCCUUGA